GACGUAGGGCGCGAGCGUUGUCCGGAUUUAUUGGGCGUAAAGAGCUCGUAGGCGGCUUGUUGCGUCGACUGUGAAAACCCGCGGCUCAACCGCGUGGCUUGCAGUCGAUACGGGCAGGCUAGAAUUCGGUAGGGGAGACUGGAACUCCUGGUGUAGCGGUGAAAUGCGCAGAUAUCAGGAGGAACACCGGUGGCGAAGGCGGGUCUCUGGGCCGAUAUUGACGCUGAGGAGCGAAAGCGUGGGGAGCGAACAGG
rnacentral:rRNA from 1 species